rnacentral:rRNA from 1 species
UACGGAGGAUGCGAGCGUUAUCCGGAUUUAUUGGGUUUAAAGGGUGCGCAGGCGGAAUGUCAAGUCAGCGGUAAAAUUUCGGGGCUCAACCCCGUCGUGCCGUUGAAACUGGGGGCCUUGAGUGGGCGAGAAGAAGGCGGAAUGCGUGGUGUAGCGGUGAAAUGCAUAGAUAUCACGCAGAACCCCGAUUGCGAAGGCAGCAUACCGGCGCCCGACUGACGCUGAGGCACGAAAGUGCGGGUAUCGAACAGG